AAAAAAAAAGGGAACCUUUAACAUUUUCAUGUUCCCAGAGGGACUCUUUUGCCUGAACACAGGAAGAACAGCAAGAAGAAAACAAAAUUUUAAGAGAAGAACGUGACUCACCAAAAACAGUCCUAGCAGGGACGGACUCUCUGUUGAGCCAAAAUGAGACUUGGGAAAGGAUGACAGUCAUGAUGCAGGGGAGACAUCUGUUGCACAUAAAACAAACUCAUUACUGUACCUGUGCUGGACUGCAACACCCCAGAAUCCACACUCUGUCCCAUCAGAUCAUACUGGUUUAACCUGGAACCGUCCUCUGCCACCACCACAGACUGGGCAGCUCCUCUGGUCCACACAUACGCCACCUCGGCUCGAGUGUAGGCGUCUAAUAAGGACAAAAACAGCAAAAGGGUGAAGACACCAUUCUCUGAAAAUGAAACAAAUAUUUGUCGGACACCUGGAGCCGUUCACUCUGCCGAGAUGACCUGUCCACUUUAUGACAACGGCACUUUUGUCAAAGGCAGUGGUAAAUAUCAAGCCACCAAUGUACUGUGAAGCUUUUUUUCUGAUGAUAAGAAAUGUUGUUGUAAUCUUUUUAACAGCAAUUUCAGUUUUAAGACUUUGCUAAUGGGUUUUAAGUCCAGUGGUUUCUAACAACUGUUCAGUAGAAAAUGAUCACAUUUCACUUGUUGAUUUAUUGCAAAAAAUGUACCUUUGUUCAUCAAUGUGACAGUGCCAGAUAGAAACUAAGAGAAGAGAGAGUGUGAUCUCUCAGAGAUCUUCUUGUCUGUCUUUCCUCAAUUCCUGUAGGUAUCUCAGGGUUGUAUUUAACCAAACAGGUCAGGUUUUCAUACUGAAUAGGUAAUUUGAGGGUAAACUGGAACUAGUGAGAUAUUUUUGUUUGGUGGUACGUCAUUGGAUUUUUCAAAUGUAUAUUUGCAGUGGCUCAAAUAGGUUGAGAGACACAAUUUUAGCCAAUUUAAACUCCCCUUUCUGUCACUAAAAAGAAGAAGCCGUUUCACUUUCUAAAGCUGCAUCUAACUGUAGGUGUUUUCUGCCUCAUGACCUUCUUACGUUGCUGUUACAGAGCAUAGAUUGACCCUUGAAUAUGUCUCUUAAAGGAUCAUCGGAGAGCAGUGGUCACCCAUAUUUAUGCACAUGUUGGCAUGCAGCUGCUCACUCAGAGCUCUUUAAAAUGGGCAGGGAAUGCUCCACAGUCUUACUUAAUGACCCAGCUGCAGCUUGAGUACAUUGGGCGCUGAGGUGGCAGAUUAAAGCUUUAGCUUUAUAAACAUUUUCCGGAGACAGUGCUGCUGCGCAGGAUAAUUCACGUUACACUUGCUUUUCGGUGAUCUGUGUUACAUGUCCACAUCUGGGUUGACAGAGUUCACAGAUUUUCACUAAUAUCUUGUGUUAUAUUUACUUAAGACUUAGCAUCUGAUUUAUCUGAUACGGAUAUGUUGUUAAAUACAUAGCAAACAUCGCAGAAAUAUAGACAAAUGUUUAUGGUGCCAGAGCACUGGUUUAGCUGUUAAAAUAAUUGCCAUAGUACCAUGACAAUAAAUGUAUGGAAGAAUGUGGAUGCUGUAAAAUACUCCACUCUACAAAUUAGUCAUUCUUGGGCUGGGAGAUAUGACAUUUUCUGUAUAAAUUAGUAAAAGGUUGUUUUUCUUCUCCUUUAUUUCCCACAGGGUUUUAAAUGGUAAAUAUAUUAAGGUUAGUCCAUCUACUAGCAGCCACAAGGCCAUGAACUUGAUCACCAAAAACGCACUUUAGAGUAUGAAACACCUGUGACCUACCAAAGUGCCUGGAGUAAUCAUUUUUAGGCUAUCUUUUGUUGCCGGAGGUUUUGUAGGCUGGCAGCUGUGCUUCUGAGGGAAUGGAAUAUUUCAUUCAUUUGUAUUAAGCGUCAGGCCAAGAAUAUGUGCUGAUGUGAAAUAUGUCAACUCAACACUGGCCUGAGGGCUCUCCUCGGUACAGGUAUUCACUUCAGCACUGUCAGCAUUUUAGACCAGCAUGUAAACAGGAUCAUGUACAAUGCAGGUGCAUAUGUCUUCCUGUGUCUGUGGGAGACAACGUCUGGUGGUUGCAUCAUGCAGUGUAUGGGUAGAAGAAGUAAUGGACUGCUUUUUACUAUUUUCUACUAAUAUAUCAUCUAAUUAUACUUCCUUGAUCCAUCUAUCCAUCCGCCCAUCUACAAAUCCAUCCAUACAGCCAUUCUGUAAUUCAUCCAUGUAUUUAUCCAUCCAUCCACCCAUCGCUUCCUUUGUUUUCCACUAUCAACAUCCGUACAAGUUUUCCAGGGUUUUUUCUGUCAAAGAAAAGAACGUUUGUAAUUUUCUUAUCUCCUUUUUCUUCUGUUCAUUUUUCAAUUUUUGCAGUCCAAUCUAUUUAUUCUCUGUCUGUCUUGAUUCUUCUGUCCCACAUUCCUCUGUCUCACUGUAAGCUCCAUGUUUGUACGCCUAUCCCUCCUUUCUCCAUUUAGAUAUUUCUUUCUUCUUAUUGACAGUUUAAUUUCCCCCCGUUAUAUUCCUUUUUGCCCCCCAACCCACCAACUCCUUGAUCUAUUGUCCCAGCUAAUUAUUUCAUCUUGAAUAUGUUCAAGUGUCAGUCUCCCAUGGUCUCAACUCCCCUCUGCCCUGUUUUAUUUAUGUCACUUUCAGUCUCUCUCCUCUUAUCAUUACAUGUACAUGACAUAUGCAGCAUGAUCACUUGCUUGUUCUGUUUUUUGUUUUUUUUCCUGACGCUGCUGCAUAUUUUCCCUUCCAUCUAACAUGCCCCUUGGUGUGCACCCCUGAAUCAUGUAAAGCUCUGGCAUUUUCAAAGAUUUCUAUAAUUUAAAAGGUUUGCUUAAAUUGCUCAACUUUCUGGAAUUCUUAAAUUUUUUGUUGUACUGGUGCAGUUUGGUAGAACGUAAAUGAUUCUCUUUGCUACAUUUCAUGACAUGUUGUGGUGUAAAUAACAGACAGUGCAUUAAUAGGCAAAUGUGUUUAAUUAAUGUGAAAAAAAAAUCAAUCUUUCCAACACUGUAAGCUCAACGGGGAUUAUUUACAUUUGUUUCCAGCUUUGUCAUGCAAAACCACCCACGACUGAGAAGCAAACAGCUUUGACAAAAGCCCGUCUCCAUAGCCUGCAGCAAAAAACACAGAAAUAAGUGACGUUAUUGAUUGAGCUGAGCUCUUUGGCGUAUUUCUCACAAAAAAAAAAGCUCAGAUUGAUUUAAUUAUAUUCAAAUAUUGUACGGUUUACAGUUGUUUAUAUUUGGUUCCAUAUUUUAGCUGAGAAAUGUUUUAUUUACAGAAACUCCAAAUGAGCAUCAUUACAAAUCUCUUUUUGUGCCCACGUGAUGAAAAUUAACAGUUGAUGUUCAGGUGAUUAAAAUAUUAAUUUUGCCACAAAGUCAAAGCAAAGUGUCUAAAUGAGAGCGUGGCCACAGGCCUGUGCUAAUUCAAAACCUUUGCAUCGUAGGAAAUUUGUUCAGAGAAACGAUUUGGCAUAAAAACCAACAAACACAAAAAUGGUAUAUAAUAUUAACAAAAAGGCUGAACAUGUUAGGCAACAACCGGUUAGGGCGGUUGGUACCUUCCAGUGGACUCAACCCACAGGAAGG